AGGGAGGCGUAGAACUCAACCUCGACUACUUUUGCUCGAGAAGAGGCAUUGCGUGCACUCUUGUCACGCUCUUCUCAGCGAUGUUGUUCAUACUGCUGCAUACCACGAGCAACACUUCCGGCGUCUACAUGUGGCUGUGCUACCUGAGCUUCACCUACUCCCUAGUGGGUGUUUACCUGGCGGUGCACAGCCUCUUCAGCUCAGUCGACAGCACCACCACGGUCUUUUCGGUGCUGUACUACGGCUCGGGCUCCACCUUCUUUCUUGCCGGUGGCGUCGCUGUCCUCUCCAAGGGCUACGAUGGCUUCCUGAGC